rnacentral:lncRNA from 1 species
ACCUCUUUGGGUCAUGGAAAGCUGCUGAGAGUGAGGGCGGAGGAGUGACAGCUCUUGUAAGUUACAAUGCCAGCUUCGGGGCUGGGUUGCAUCUCCGUGCUAGAGUACCUGCCUGGGAUGUGCCGAGUCAUGAGUUCCAGCCCCGGCACCAGAUCGUUAGUUUUAAAAAAUAUUUUUAAAGGAUUUUAAAACUUUAUUAUUGUGUGUAUGCGUGUUUGCAUGUAUGUAUGUGCACAGGCAUGUGGAUGCUUGAGAGAGGCAAAAAAGGAUGUUGAAUUCCCUGGAGCUGCAUGCAGUUAAAGCAGCUGUGAGCUUCCCAGUGUGGGUGCUGGGACCUGAAUGAACCCUGUUCUCUGGAGAGCAGCAAACGUCCUUCACUCUUGAGCACGUUUUUGUUUGUUUGUUUGUUUGUUUGUUUGUCUUUCUUGUUUUUGAAUGGCAGUUUGUUUUGUUUUUAAAUGUUGGAGAACAGUUCAUGGAAAGCUUGGCUGGGUGCAGAGGCAUUAGUGACAGGCUUCCAAAAAAGCUCGAGUGGUGGCUUUGUUGGGUGCUGGAGGUAGAGGAGGCAGGAGGGGUGGGGUUCUGGGUAAUGUCUCAGAGGCAGUGUGGACAGCCUCUGCUCUCAGUGGGUAUGGGACAUUAGAGACUCAGGUGACCUGUGGGCGAGUCCAGGGCCAGAGCCUCCGGAAGGCUGGAGCUGCUGUUCAUGAGAUGGGAUGACUUCAAAAGGAGGGAAAGAGCCGGGCAGUGGUGGGGCACACCUUUAAUCCCAGCACUUGGGAGGCAGAGGCAGGCAGAUUUCUGAGUUUGAGGCCAGCCUGGUCUACAGAGUUAGUUCCAGGACAGACAGGUGUAUACAGAGAAACCCUGUGGGGGAGGAGGGACAGAAGUGAGGCUGACAGGAAGAGAGAGGGGCUGAGCUGUGGAACCAUACCCCGAUCAGUAGAGCACUCGAGCCUGCGCUCUGGACCACCCAAUCCUUGGGAGGGGAGUAACCCUGUUGCGGAGCUUCACAGCAUAUCUUAGUUCAGGUUUCUGUUGCUGUGAAGAGACACCAUGCCCACAGCAGCUCAGAAAGCAUUUAAUUGGGGCUGGCUUACAGUUCAGUUUACUAUCACUGUGGCUGGAAGCACGGGAGCAUGCAGGCAGAUGUGCUGGAGAAGAAACUGAGAGCUCCACAUCAAGACUGGACCUGGUUUGAGCUUCUGAAACCCAAGCCCACCCCAGUGACCCAGUUCCUCCAGUAAGGUCACAUGUCCUAAUCAUUUCAAGUAAUGCCCUCCUUAUGAGCCUAUGGGGGCCAUUUUCAUUCAAACCGCCACAGCCAGCAAUAGGGACAACUUCAAACCAAGCUGAGCUGCUUUUCUGUCUGAAAUCUGAGUUGUAAAUAAACACCGUCCUGUCUUUC